AAAUUUGAGUAUUUUUCAUUUUCUAAAACAGUAUUUUUUUAGUGAUUUGUUGAUAAAAGUUAGCAAUAAGGUGGAAAUUGGGCUGAUUUGUUAAAGCAGAAUCUAAAUAAAUUGAGAUUUAGAGAGCAGGAUAAGGAAUUCUUCGGGGGUCCGUGUAAAAAAUCGUAACAGCCAUUUGCUGUGUGCUUCACCGAAAAUCGAUAUAGCUGGUUGUGUGUACGCGUUCGAUACUCAAGGGACGUGUUCCUGUUUUUAUAUAGGUUCGGCCCUCGAAGGUUUGGGAUUCGAAAUGUGUUUCAUCGAUUGAAGACAGACACGUGUAUGGUCAAUAAAUUUCAUUACAAAAAUACAAA